rnacentral:lncRNA from 1 species
AUGAAUCGUGCUGGAACGUUCAAUAUUUUGGGACAUUUAUUUGGACUGUGAGCCUGCUGAAUCUGCCCUGUCUUGCACUAUUUAAGCAACAUAUCUGCACAGUUUUUUUUUAAAAUGCAAAUUUUGAUUUCUUGGCUCUCAUAGGUUUGGUUGCUGGAUAGUUUAAUAUCUGAAUGAGGUUUAGCUUUGAUUGUUAGUUGUGCAAGUUAUGUUUUUCUUCAGCCGUUUGCUGAACAACCUUGCCCUGUUUUUCCUCACAUUCAUGUAUGUUUCUCACCCCCAAUUCACAGUUUCUGCUUUGUUCACUUGCUUAAGGCUCUUUAGAAUUUCAGCCUCAUGAUU